rnacentral:misc_RNA from 1 species
GAUGAAGAACGUAGCGAAAUGCGAUAAGUAAUGUGAAUUGCAGAAUUCAGUGAAUCAUCGAAUCUUUGAACGCACAUUGCGCCCCCUGGCAUUCCGGGGGGCAUGCCUGUUCGAGCGUCAUUACAACCCUCAAGCUCUGCUUGGUAUUGGGCUCUGCUGGGACCGGCAGGCCUUAAAAUCAGUGGCGGCGCCACUCGGCUUCAAGCGUAGUAAUUCUUCUCGCUUCGGAGACCCGGCUGCGUGCUAGCCAGCAACCCCCAACUUUCUUAGGUUGACCUCGGAUCAGGUAGGGAUACCCGCUGAACUUAAGCAUAUCAAUAAGCGGAGGA